ensembl:lncRNA SNHG5 small nucleolar RNA host gene 5
GCUGCGCACUUCGGUCUUUUACGUCGGCCUUCGCGAGCGUCUGGGCGGGUGGUAGGUGAGUGGGUAUUGCGGGCUAGUAUCCGAGCAAAAGAUGGUGGCGCAGGCCGAGUUAAGAGCUUUAAUCCUGUGAAGACAUCUUAGUGAAGAGUUUAGAGUGCUGAGAGUUGAAAGCUUGCACGUGGGAAACGUGCGGCCGGACUGCCACAUGUACUGAGGUUGAGUCGUGACGGCCACAGGCUCCGAGUUUUGGCGUGAGGAACCGCUGAUCGGCCACGGGCGCCGAACUUGCUGGCCUCCGGCAUGUGCCUGAGCGGCGGCGGAAAAACCACCUUAAUUGGGGCGGAGGGUUAGUUUUAACAGCAAAGGGCCUUUACUAAAAUGGCGAAGGCCUUCCGUCGGCGUUGUUUUAAAAUGGGAAGCCUCGACCCUGUAUUGAAACUGAGCUGUUCGAAGGCGGCGUUGUGUGCAAUUCGGAUUAAUGAAGGGGAAGGGUUUUGUGUGGAAAAACGCCUUGGAGUGUGACAUUUCUGCGAGAAUGCUUAAAUACCGAUUUCCCGCAGGAACAAUGGCGCUGUCUUCAGUGGCACAGUGGAGCAGCUCUGAAGAUGCAAAGGUAAGAGCUUAGUUAAGCUUAGUUUCCAAACUAAAGGAGUAAACCUGUUGAUUUACAGGAAUAGGAACUGUUGCAUCGUUUGAAAUUUACUUUUUUUUGUUAGAUACACGAAAAAACUUCCAGAACAUCUGGGAGAAUAUUUAAUGGAAAAUCGCUUGGUUAAAACCUGACACUUUUAACAGGUAUGUGUUGUUUUAGUACUUUAUGAUUGAGCAUAGCAUUUAAUCCACACCUAGACUAAAUCAAAUUUUUUUUGUCAGUGAACAGCGUUCUGAGUGUGGACGAGUAGCCAGUGAAGAUAAUGAAUGUCGAAUGUGACUGACUAGCAGCUUCAUUUUGAAGUAGGUUGUAUGGCUUAAAAGUUCUGUAGUAUUUGUACUAUAAUACUUGCCUUUUAGCAUUACCUUGGUUUGUAGUCAGUGUCACAGAAGUGCAGUUUAAUGUAUUAUGUGUACAUAUACAAGGUCUGAUUGGUCUAAUCAAUGAUGAAACCUAUCCCGAAGCUGAUAACCUGAAGAAAAAUAAGUACGGAUUCGGCUUCUGAGAUUAAGACCAGUAAUUCAGAGGUGGAGUAAAUUUUGUUGCCGUGAUUUUAUAACAGUUGUGUUAUAAAAUCCUGGGUUUUUUUUUUUUCUGCCAACAGUGAGGGUCGCUGUCUGCCCAUUGAUAGAGGCCAGAUUGUCUUGGAAGUUCCAAAGUUGCAACGAUUUCUGUAAGUGGAGUUUUUCUGUUUGCUUAGAGAUCAGUGAAUAUUGUGUCCUUGGUCUUAUCUGUGAUGAUCUUAUCCCGAACCUGAACUUCUGUUGAAAAAAAAAAACUUUUACGGAUCUGGCUUCUGAGAUGGACCGUUAUAAGGACAAUAUUUUUUUUUAAUACUUUUAAUGCUUUUACAUAUGUUGUAAUGUUUGUAGUCUUGUAAGAAUCUCGUGUUUUUCCUUUUCUAGGGCUAGUGCCACGAGGUUUACUUGACUGUUGUGUGAAAAGCUGAUAAGAAAACCAUCCAGAAAAAAGCUCUUCGUUUUACAAACAUGAAAAUAAAACAUGUAAUUUUGGAUUAUGUUCCUUUUUGUUAUUACUUUUAAAUAGGUCCUGAAAUAACAUGGGGAGCAUUAAAUGGAAAAUCCACUAACCAGCCUUGUAAUCAAAUUACUGUGAGUGAAUGUUUCGGGUUUGUGCAGGGUACAAUGUAAGGGUUUUUGGAUCAGUGUAAGAGUGGAGAGACAGGAAUUAGAAGUAAUUGUUACUAAGCAAAUCAUGGAAUAUUUAGUUUUGAUGUAACUAUAAUUUUGAAAGCCUGGAUGCUUAAGUUGAGAAAUGGGGGAAUGAGAUACAGAAAAUAAGGAGCACAAUAGAAUAAUAAUAGCAGUUUAUUAAGUAUGGUCAUGAGGGAAGGUUACUGAUAAAACAAUCUGGUAAAGACAUUCAGGCUUGCUAAAAUCUAGGAAGAGGUCAUUUGGCAGGAUGGGUUACAUAAUGCUAUCUGAUACUACCAAAUAAAA